ACGGAGGAUGCAAGCGUUAUCCGGAUUCAUUGGGUUUAAAGGGUGCGCAGGCGGAAUGAUAAGUCAGUGGUGAAAUCCUACGGCUCAACUGUAGAACUGCCAUUGAUACUGUCGUUCUUGAGUACACUUGGAGUGGGCGGAAUGUGUCAUGUGGCGCUGAAAUGAUUGGAGAUGACGCAGAAGAACGAUGGCGAAGGCAACAAACUGGAUUAGAUCUCACAGUCAGGCAGGUGAGCGAGGGAAUCAAAGAG
rnacentral:rRNA from 1 species